rnacentral:rRNA from 1 species
UACGAAGGGUGCAAGCGUUAAUCGGAAUUACUGGGCGUAAAGCGUGCGUAGGCGGUUUCUUAAGUCUGCUGUGAAAGCCCCGGGCUCAACCUGGGAAUGGCGGUGGAUACUGAGAAGCUGGAGUUCGGUAGAGGAGUGUGGAAUUCCUGGUGGAGCGGUGAAAUGCGCAGAGAUCAGGAGGAACACCCGUAGCGAAGGCGGCACUCUGGGCCGAUACUGACACUGAGGAGCGAAAGCGUGGGGAGCGAACAGG